AUGGACCCGACGACUCUUCCCAUGGCUGGCUUAGUAGUCGUUGCCGGCGACGGAGCUGUGGUCGUCGCACAUGUACACGUACCGGUAGACGACGCCGGCGAGGCCACCGCCGAUGAGCGGGCCGGCCCAGUAGAUCCAGAUGUUGGUGAAGUCGCCGCUGGCAACGGCGGGGCCGAAGGAGCGUGCAGGGUUCAUGGACCCGCCGGAGAAGGGGCCGGCAACGAGGAUGUUGGCGCCGACGAUGAAGCCGAUGGCGAUGGGGGCGAUGGUGCCGAGGGAACCCUUCUUGGGGCCGAAGGUGACGCCGACGCCGGCGAAGACGAAGAUGAGGGUGGAGAUGAACUCAGCGAUGUAGGCCUUGAAAGAGGCCAAGCUGAAGGAGUCAUCGAAGCGACCGAAGGCGAUGGAGCCCGGCAUGGUGGCUAG
rnacentral:rRNA from 1 species